rfam:Idiomarina xiamenensis 10-D-4 contig6, whole genome shotgun sequence.
CAAAACUGGUGGUGGCACUUCCCGAUACAGCGGGUGUUGUGAUCGUGCGCGUCUAAAUAACGCAAAGAUUUAUCCAAAAGCCCGCAUCAUUGCGGGCUUUUUUGU